rnacentral:rRNA from 1 species
UACGUAGGGGGCAAGCGUUGUCCGGAUUUAUUGGGCGUAAAGAGCGUGUAGGCGGCCAUACAGGUCCGUUGUGAAAACUCGAGGCUCAACCUCGAGACGUCGAUGGAAACCGUAUGGCUAGAGUCCGGAAGAGGAGAGUGGAAUUCCUGGUGUAGCGGUGAAAUGCGCAGAUAUCAGGAAGAACACCAGUGGCGAAGGCGGCUCACUGGCCCGGUACUGACGCUGAGGCGCGAAAGCGUGGGGAGCAAACAGG